rnacentral:rRNA from 1 species
UACAGAGGUGGCAAGCGUUGUUCGGAAUUACUGGGCGUAAAGGGCGAGUAGGUGGCCAUCUAAGUCAGACGUGAAAUCCCCCGGCUUAACCUGGGAACUGCGUCUGAUACUGGACGGCUUGAGUAUGGGAGAGGAACGUAGAAUUCCAGGUGUAGCGGUGAAAUGCGUAGAUAUCGAGAGGAACACCAAUGGCGAAGGCAGCUCGCUGGGACGGUACUGACGCUGAGGCGCGAAAGCGUGGGGAGCAAACAGG